GCGCUGACUGACAUUUCAAUGGCUGGGAGGGGCAGCGGGAAGAAAGGAGGCCUAUUGUCUGCGCGUCUCCCCCUCCCUCAACACCUCAACAGGAACCGGUUUUGAGGGCUGCCUGGGCCAAAAUGAAUGCUUCUAGGGGUAUAUCCGCAGGAAUUCACUGGGGCUGAGGUUUCUGACAGUCUAAUAGGGAUACGGGUCCAAGAAGAACUUUAUUAGCAAAGUCAGGGAGGGGGUUCAGUGAUACAAUGGGUACUACGAAGUGCUUUAUCCCAGUGCUCUUUCCCAGCCCCCCUUUUCCCUGGCUUGUCAUUAUGACAGGGUCUGGUAAAGCUUAGAGGGAAGAAAGAGAAGGGGGAGGGGGAGGACAGAGGCAGGAAGGAAGGCGCUUUGCCAGUUUCAGUUCUGGCUAAUGAGUCUGCCCUUGAUGAAUGGGCUCCCUUCUCUGGCCCUCCGCGGAAGCAUAUCUCUGUGCUUUGUGACUUCACAGUCAUUCCCAUGAGGAGGCGGCCUCCGUUUUUCUAGCUCUCGCGGCUGAACUGGCCUUGUCACUUGCUUUGGCCCACAGAGGAGGGCAAAGUGAUGGACUGGUCCCGAAGCGGCUUCGACCUUCUCCUGGAAAUGCUGCUGGGUGGCCGGGCAGGACAAGCUCAGGGAAGCCUGACAGGCAUGCGGCCCAGUGCCCCCUUCAGAGAAUGACCCACCCUGCUGACCCAUGAGGAAACCCCACAGAGAAAACCCGUGCCCAGCCGAGCCUGCCCCAGCUGCCUCCCCACAUAGACGAUGAUGUGAUUGCUGGAACUCCGCAGCCAUUAAGCAACCAUGAGGGAAAAGAACAAGACGCCUUAUUUUGUCAGGCACCAGUGUUAUCUGCCAAGCUGCUAGGGGAAGAAUCCUACCUGGAAGGCUCUCAUGGUUGGGAAGGAUGUGGGAAGAACCAACUCCUACCGACCUCCCACAAACCCCACUUAGGACAUCUCCAGAAGGCUCCCCAUUACCACAGAGCCUCUCUCCCUAAUUGUUAGAAAGUGACAUCCAGCUCUACCAUCAUCUGCCUACUUACAGCUCUCACCCACAGGUUGAAGUCCUCCUUUCUAGCGCUUCCCACGUUGCUCCUUUGAGUUUGUCUCCGAGUCAGCAGCCACCCGGGGGACUUGCCAGAAAUGCUGAGUCACAGGCCCACUCGUCGACAGGGGGCCAGUUUGGGACCCUGCUCCAGAUCCCCUGGUGCCUCUCCUUGCCCGGGCACCCUCGGGCAAAGACCCUUCCCCAGUCUAGCAUGGGAUGAAAUGCACGGAAUGAAUACAGAACAACCAGGCAGAUGAAACACCUCGCUUCUUCGUCUGAAGUGUAUAAUUUCCUACCUAGCUCUCGAGGGGCACCUCAGUCAUCACGAAGAAAGCAUGGGUACUACCGUGGGCAGUCAACCAUGAAAAGCCACAACCAGUGCUGUCAAGUUCCAUAAAAUGAAAGAGAAACCAAUUAGUCCAAGCGGAGAAGAGGCUGGCUGGGCCCCAGCACCUGUCGCAGACACUCCACGCCCACACCCACCCAAACUGCAGUCUCCGCUCAGGCAAGCCCACUCUGCCUGGGCAUCUCCAGAUCUGCCUGGCAUGGACAGGGGGUCCCGGGGAGUCUCCAACCUCUCUCCUGAGAAUCUAUCUCGUCAGUACCUGGGACAGCAGUCUUGGCGGUCUCCCUUACGGAACUUCUAAAACAAGCCUCCAGACCUGCCAGUUGUCUGAAAAGUGAUCCAAUCAGAUUCUUGGCACUUUAUGCUUCCCAGGGGCUCCUGAGAAGUGCCUGUGCCCACAGGAAGAGAUAAAGGGUACAGACACAUGCAUGGACCCUACUCUGUUCCCUGACCGCUCCUGAACUUUCUCCAAGGAAACCCGAUUCUUGGGAGUGAGUGUUCUCUACCUGAGUGAUUCCAGGGAGAGUGAAUUUUAGGUAGAGUGCUUUAUGAAGCCUUAGUUGCAUUAAUAUGUCCACCCAGAAGUGUGGGCUCUCGGGGCACUCCCUCUCAGGGACCUCCAAACCGCAUGGCGGGAGCUCUCUCGCAACGCUUCCUCUCUAUGAGGAAGACAUUUCAGGGCUCCAAGGUCAAUGUUAGGAGGCUGUGAGGCCAUGAUUCCCU